GCCGAGGUGGCGGAAUGGCAGACGCGCAGGUCUCAAAAACCUGUGAGGGUAAUACCUCAUGAAGGUUCGACUCCUUUCCUCGGCACUA
rnacentral:tRNA from 2 species